GUCUUUGUUCAAAGAAAAUCUGGGCAAGUUACUUGAUUGGUUAAAUCCAAUAAGUAACACAAUUGCUAUCAUGGGAGAUUUCAAUGAUAAUAAUUUAAAUUCUUCAACUAUCUGCAAGUUUAUGACCAACAAAGGGUUUGCCCAAAAUGUCUCACAAUCCACAACAGAGAAAGGCACAUUAAUUGAUCAUGUGUAUGUUAAAACACCACAUUAUAAUGUAGAAUCAACAGUGUUGCCAACAUAUUUCAGUGACCGUGAGGGGAUUGUAUGUUCUUUCACAUCUAAGUGUUAAAUCAAAGUUCAGAGAAAGGUUAGGGGAGCACAUUAGUGUAUUUUAUUGUUUCCAGAGAUAUUGUAUCACCAGCACAGCAUCAUUAGAGAUGAGGGUCGAAGGAGUGAGUCUGAUCUGUUCAGUGCCAUUUUGCGUGUUUUGUGACUCAUCUAUUGUAUUUAUUUAACUUUUAUAGCUUACUAUCAUUGCAUGUGUCCUGUAUGAGUUAUUGUAUAUUAUGAAUUUGUGUCCGGUAAAAAAAAAAAAAAAACGGGGUUGUUUUCCUUACAGCAUAUCAUUACAACGGCACUUUUCAAGCAUUCUCAUUUUACCACUCCUUGUAUUGUAACUCACUUGUCUCUAACAAGUGCCUUUUAAUGUCCAUUACAGAAAUUUUCCUUGCUACAUCCAGCCUUAUCUGUCAGGGCCAUGCAGUUUUCCCACUUUGUCUCACUGUAUUUGUUUCUCAUACUCCUAGUUCCCGACUCUGCUCACCCCACACACACCUUCCUGCAAUCGGCUCAUCGCCCCUCCCAGCCUACACACAUACCACCAUCAGUUCAUCAGCUUUGCAGUACUACGGAUCUUCACCCAUCCAGUGACAGAUUGUUAAAACGGAUCUUUCCUUGUCUGCUUGACUACAGUGCUCUUCAUCCUCAUGCCAUUCCUGCCUGUCCAUGCCAUUCACCAUCUGUGUUCUACUACCAGCCAUCUUCUGCAAAUAAAUCUCACCUUUUAUA